rnacentral:rRNA from 1 species
UACGGAGGAUCCGAGCGUUAUCCGGAUUUAUUGGGUUUAAAGGGUGCGCAGGCGGGAGAUUAAGUCGGCGGUGAAAUUUUGCAGCUCAACUGUAAAAGUGCCUUCGAAACUGGUUUCCUUGAGUGUAGAUGAAGUAGGCGGAAUUUGUGGUGUAGCGGUGAAAUGCAUAGAUAUCACGAGGAACUCCGAUUGCGCAGGCAGCUUACUAAACUACUACUGACGCUCAGGCACGAAGGCGUGGGGAGUCAAACAGGAUUAGAUACCCCGGUACGGU